UUAUCUCGUUUUUUUUCAGGAUAAGUUAUAGUACUACAUUUCAUCAAUAUCUUGACAAGCAAGAUACUAUGGUUGAAAUCCUUAAUUGAUAUCUUGAAGAUCCUUGAAGUCAGAUUUUAUUCCUUCUUAUUUUAAAAUUCAAAAGAGUCAACAUUAAAUUAAGCAAUAAUGUAUUUAUAAACAAUCACCUUUCUUUAAUGUUUAUUCAUUUCGUUCGUGUAUAUUUAAGAAAUGAAAACUGUAACUGUACUAAGUUCAAUUUUCGUAUCGUUUAUAUGCCUUACGGAAAACCGACCUUUUCCGGAAUCGACUUUUGUUUUAUCACCGGAAAUGAUUUUGAAAUUUGAAUUUCGAAACGAAAACAGGAUAUCAACAAAGAGAGCCAAGAAAAUUGUUUGUUACGCGAUAUAUACUCACUUGGAGCUAAAAGAAAAGCCACAAAGGACAAGUUCAAUAUGCAGGUUUACAAUUUGGAAGUGGCGCAGGUUCUUUGAAAUGUCUACAAUACAAGGGCAUACAAUACAGAAAAGAUAUCUGGAUAUUUGAAUAAAUUAUAUUUUUUGUGACAAAAUAGAAACGAGUUGUUUAUUUAAAUCAAUCUUUUAGUCCAACAGUGUGCUUUCAUAAACAUAUUAAAUUUUGCUUUCCUUUGAAGUAUUUCAAAUACAUACAUGUAUAAACAACUCAUUUAAUGACAUCUGUGUGUUUCUCGGAAGUUAAGUUAUAUUAUUAUCAUCAUUGCAAAAACAAUGCGUAACACUUCGAUAAGUUAUUAUGUGCCUAUAGUAUACUUCUAGGACUGUAUCAUAUGCCCUUAGAUACAAAUGACAAGUUAUAAACUAUGUCACUCUACAGAGUUUAACACUUAAAAAGGACAAUAAGAUGUUUAAUGACAUUAUGUAGCAGGGCUUUUAAAGGCCCUUACAUGAUACAAUGCAUUUGAUGAAAACUAAAAAAAAACAAGAAAAACAACAGCCUGAUUUAUACAAAACAAUAAAAGAAAAAAAAUAUGAUAGACAUCAAUCAUCGAGUAUAAUGAAAUAAGACUCUGGACUGGACACAUAUCUAGUCUAAAGUUUUUUAUGUGGUUUUUUUUAAUAACUAAAUGAAGUUCAGCCAGGCAUAUUGCUCUCUCUUAACACGGUCAGCCAUUUAUCGUCCCCUUCCGACAGACUAUCAUCGUUAUUUGUUUCAAAACUUUAAAGGGGAGGGGAUGUAUAUCCUUCAGGCAACGUGAAUCGUUCUAUAAUAAAGGAAUGUGCAAGAAGUUCAUAUAUGAAUGUAAGAUUAUUUUUUUUUUCAGAAGCAUGGCACAGCAAGAAAAAGAUAUAAGACACUACAAGACAUUCCUAGUGAUUUUGAAUAAGACAAUUGAUUGACUUUUUCAAUGUAUUCUUAAAUAAAUCAAAUAGUUGAUGUAAAA